GCCUAUAGCUCAGUUGGUUAGAGUGCCGGACUCAUAAUCCGUCGGUCCCUGGUUCGAGUCCAGGUGGG
rnacentral:tRNA from 1 species